rnacentral:rRNA from 1 species
GUGAGGAAUUUUCCGCAAUGGGCGAUAGCCUGACGGAGCAAUGCCGCGUGAAGGAUGAAGGCCUAUGGGUUGUAAACUUCUUUUCUUAGAGAAGAAUAUUGACGGUAUCUGAGGAAUAAGCAUAGGCUAACUCUGUGCCAGCAGCCGCGGUAAGACAGAGGAUGCAAGCGUUAUCCGGAAUGAUUGGGCGUAAAGCGUGCGUAGGCGGUUUUGUAAGUUAGGAGUGAAAGCCCAGGUCUCAACCUUGGAAUUGCUAUUAAAACUGCAAAGCUCGAAUCUCGGGGAGAAUAGCGGAAUUUCCAGUGUAGCAGUGAAAUGCGUAGAUAUUGGAAGGAACACCAGUGGCGUAAGCGGCUAUAUGGACGAGUAUUGACGCUGAGGCACGAAAGCGUGGGGAUCAAACAGGAUUAGAUACCCGUGUAGUCC